rnacentral:misc_RNA from 1 species
GAGAUGCGAUAAGUAAUGUGAAUUGCAGAAUUCAGUGAAUCAUCGAAUCUUUAAACGCACAUUGCGCCCGCCAGUAUUCUGGCGGGCAUGCAUGUUCGAGCGUCAUUUCAUCCAUCAAGCCCCCGGGCUUGUGUUGGGGACCCUGCGGCUGUCAUCAGGCCCUGAAAUGCAGUGGCGGGCUCGCUGUCCACUCCGAGCGUAGUAGCAUUACACCUCGCUCAGGGCGCGCGGCGGGCUCCGGCCGUUAAACGCGACCUUAACGCAUACCAAGGUUGAUCUCGGAUCAGGUAGGAAGACCCGCUGAACUUAA